rnacentral:tRNA from 1 species
GGAAAGGACGCCUCUGGUGGGGCAGCCGGUCUUCAAAACCGGUAGGCCAUAGAGAUAUGGCUGGUGGGUUCGAUUCCUACCCUUUUCC